rnacentral:rRNA from 1 species
GUAGGUGGCAAGCGUUGUCCGGAAUUAUUGGGCGUAAAGCGCGCGCAGGCGGUUCAUUAAGUCUGAUGUGAAAGCCCACGGCUCAACCGUGGAGGGUCAUUGGAAACUGGAGAACUUGAGUACAGAAGAGGAAAGCGGAAUUCCACGUGUAGCGGUGAAAUGCGUAGAGAUGUGGAGGAACACCAGUGGCGAAGGCGGCUUUCUGGUCUGUAACUGACGCUGAGGCGCGAAAGCGUGGGGGAGCAAACAGGAUUAGAUACCCUGGUAGUCCACGCCGUAAACGAUGAGUGCUAAGUGUUAGGGGGUUUUCCGCCCCUUAGUGCUGCAGCUAACGCAUUAAGCACCCCCCGCCUGGGAGUACGGCCGCAAGGCUG